rnacentral:rRNA from 2 species
GGAAUUUUCCGCAAUGGGCGAAAGCCUGACGGAGCAACGCCGCGUGAGGGAUGAAGGCCUCUGGGCUGUAAACCUCUUUUAUCAAGGAAGAAGAUCUGACGGUACUUGAUGAAUAAGCCACGGCUAAUUCCGUGCCAGCAGCCGCGGUAAUACGGGAGUGGCAAGCGUUAUCCGGAAUUAUUGGGCGUAAAGCGUCCGCAGGCGGCCCUUCAAGUCUGCUGUUAAAAAGUGGAGCUUAACUCCAUCAUGGCAGUGGAAACUGUUGGGCUUGAGUGUGGUAGGGGCAGAGGGAAUUCCCGGUGUAGCGGUGAAAUGCGUAGAUAUCGGGAAGAACACCAGUGGCGAAGGCGCUCUGCUGGGCCAUCACUGACGCUCAUGGACGAAAGCCAGGGGAGCGAAAGGGAUUAGAUACCCCAGUAGUC